AUACGUAGGGUGCAAGCGUUAAUCGGAAUUACUGGGCGUAAAGCGUGCGCAGGCGGUUUUGUAAGACAGAGGUGAAAUCCCCGGGCUCAACCUGGGAACUGCCUUUGUGAAUGCAAGGCUAGAGUACGGCAGAGGGGGAUGGAAUUCCGCGUGUAGCAGUGAAAUGCGUAGAUAUGCGGAGGAACACCGAUGGCGAAGGCAAUCCCCUGGGACUGUACUGACGCUCAUGCACGAAAGCGUGGGGAGCAAACAGGAUUAGAUACCCUGGUAGUCCACGCCCUAAACGAUGUCAACUGGUUGUUGGGUCUUCAUUGACUCAGUAACGAAGCUAACGCGUGAAGUUGACCGCCUGGGGAGUACGGCCGCAAGGUUGAAGCUCAAAUGAAUUGACGGGG
rnacentral:rRNA from 1 species